AUGAAUUUCUUGUGCUGGAACUGUCGCGGUCUUGGGAUGGACGCGGCAGUUGGCGAGUUGCGGUGGCUCGUCAGAAAACAUCGUCCCUCCCUCCUCUUCCUACCUCAAACGAAGAUGAGGGAUAACAGAGCUCGGAAGCUCAUGUGGUCCUUAGGCUUCUCGGGUUCCUUUGCGGUUAGCACUGAUGGUUUGAGCGGUGGUUUGGCUCUGUAUUGGUCUUCCUCUUUGAGAGUUUCUCUUCGUGCCUUCUCCAGGCAAUUGAUUGACGUAUUAGUGACGACAGAAAGUGGAGAUGAAUGGAGAACCACCUUAGUUUAUGGGGAACCAAAAAGGGAGUUAAGACAUCUGUUCUGGGAUAGAAUGCGCUUCCUACGAACGCACUGGAGAGGCCCAUGGUUAUGUGCAGGGGACUUCAAUGAAGCCCUGAGUGGAGAUGAACAUCUGGGCACCAAAGAUAGAGAUGAGAACCAUAUGACACUCUUUAGGGAUUGUUUGGAUGAUUGUGGAUUGAUCGAUAUGGGUUUUUCUGGACCUAAAUUCACAUGGUCGAACAAACAAGCUGACAGCAACAAUCUCAGAGUUAAGACUUGA
rnacentral:rRNA from 1 species